rnacentral:tRNA from 1 species
GUCAGCAUAGUUUAAUAAAACAUUAGAAUGUGGCCCUAAAAAUAGAAGUUUAAACCUUCUCGCAGACC